rnacentral:lncRNA from 1 species
GAGGAUAUGCUUUCAAAAGGACUAAUUCAGCUGACAUUUCAUAGUGAUUUUGGUUAAGGGUUUCUCUAUGUCGGGCUGGCGACUUUAAAACUAGCGCUUGGUGGGAGGCAACCCACUGUUGGUUUGUUUUAGUUUUUAUUUUUCUUAUUCUUUGCUUUCCGUUUUUUUUGUGUUUUUCUUUGGUUGCUUGUGCGGAUGCUUUGAUUUUGGGUGUUAAUGUUUUUGUUUCCAACGCUGCAAUUUUUCUACUCUGACCUUGCCGCCAGCGCUGAAGAAUGCUAGCGCUGCACUUU